AAAUCGGUCGCGUCUAUGGCAAGACGCCCGAGGUGCAGAAGAUGACGCCCGACUAUUGCCGUAUCGUGAAUGACCGGCAUUUCAACCGGGUCGCCGGCCUGAUCGAGGAUGCCCGUGCCAAAAGCGCGCGGAUACUGCUGGGCGGGCAGACGGAUGCGGUGCAGAAAUUCGUGGCGCCCACGCUGAUCAGCCAGAUCACCCCCGAGAUGGCGAUUU
rnacentral:misc_RNA from 1 species